AGCGCCGUAGCGUACCGGAUAAAAGCUACCCCGGGGAUAACAGGCUGAUCCUGCCCAAGAGCUCAUAUCGACGGCAUGGUUUGGCACCUCGAUGUCGGCUCGUCGCAUCCUGGGGCUGGAGUAGGUCCCAAGGGUUGGGCUGUUCGCCCAUUAAAGCGGUACGCGAGCUGGGUUUAGAACGUCGUGAGACAGUUCGGUCCCUAUCCGCUGCGCGCGGAGGAAACUUGAGAAGAGCUGUCCCUAGUACGAGAGGAC
rnacentral:rRNA from 14 species